UACGUGGGGGGCAAGCGUUGUCCGGAUUUAUUGGGCGUAAAGAGCGUGUAGGCGGCCAUGUAGGUCCGUUGUGAAAACUCGAGGCUCAACCUCGAGACGCCGAUGGAAACCAUGAGGCUAGAGUCCGGAAGAGGAGAGUGGAAUUCCUGGUGUAGCGGUGAAAUGCGUAGAUAUCAGGAGGAACACCGGUGGUGUAGGCGGCGUUCUGGGCCGUAACUGACGCUGAGGAGCGAAAGCGUGGGGAGCGAACAGG
rnacentral:rRNA from 1 species